AUUACCCAUGUAUUCCUUCUUUUUUUUUUUGGUUUUAUU
rnacentral:sRNA from 1 species